rnacentral:rRNA from 1 species
ACUUCAUCCGAUCCCUAGUCGGCAUAGUUUAUGGUUAAGACUACGACGGUAUCUGAUCGUCUUCGAUCCCCUAACUUUCGUUCUUGAUUAAUGAAAACAUCCUUGGCAAAUGCUUUCGCAGUAGUUAGUCUUCAAUAAAUCCAAGAAUUUCACCUCUGACAAUUGAAUACUAAUGCCCCCAACUAUCCCUAUUAAUCAUUACAUCGAUCCUAGAAACCAACAAAAUAGAAUACAAUGUCCUAUUUCAUUAUUCCAUGCUAAUGUAUUCAAGCGUGAGCUUGCUUUAAACACUCUAAUUUUUUCAAGGUAACAGUCCUAAUUUCUCGCGACACCAAAUUAAUGACAUCACGGUUCCUUAGAAGGUGAGAACCAAUCAAACCAGUACACACCGAUUGGCAUGACCGAUCCAUCGGUUCCGAAAUUCAACUACGAGCUUUUUAACUGCAACAACUUUAAUAUACGCUAUUGGAGCUGGAAUUA